AAGAACAAGUGAUGCUUGGGGAAAGUGUAGGGUUAACAGCCUGUUAAUGUGCAGUGGGACAAGCUGUCUGAAGGGCCUUGUGGUUAGUUACUGAUGGUGUGGGGGAGAGUAUAGCCUCAAUUAAAAAGAAAAGUGUGUUGUCUGAGUAGACAUGCUGAAUGUGGAUGUGUGGGUUAAUCAGGGUUUCUUUAGGAAACAUCAGUAAGAGUCUGGUGGUAGUCAUGACUGAAGGAAGACAAUCUGGAGCUAUGCAUUCAGCAUACCCUGCAUUUUCAUGAGGAGAAUUGUGGCAUGCUGGGGUGCAUCAGGAAGAAUGUUGCCAGCAGAUCAGUUUCUUGUGGAAAUUCAGAUGCUCAGAGAACUUUAUCCUUUCUGGUACACAUUAGUUUCACAACAGAUGAUGCUGGUGGUCCAUGCAGGCCAGCAAACCUUAGCUUUAAUUAAGAUUGUAGGGCUUAUGUUUUCCAGAGUUAAACACCUGAGUCAAACACCAUAGUCCCAGAAGAAAAUAAUGUAAUAUAUUGUAAAGAGAGAAUUAGGAAUACCUGAAUGAGACUUGCAACUUUGAGCAGACUGACUGGAGAGAAGCUGAACUCAACACCCUGGGAACAUCAGAGAGAGAGAAAUAUGGCUGUAAUUCAGCCAUCUCUGAGACACAGACUCUUCCUUACAGCUUGAGUUACUCUCUGCUCUCUGAGGCUGAGUUUCAGAGCCCAGAAACUCUCCUCAAGACACUGGCCCCUGGGCAACAUUUCUCAUUUCAAGUUUGGCAGAAGAAGAGCAGUGGGUUGUGGUUCUUCUUUCCUCCCCAAGAUACAGUCUCACAGCUUAAGCCAAUUUCUGAAAAGUAAUUUUCUACUUAAAUUCCACUCUUUCAGCAUACAUGCCUGCCUCCUGCAUACAAAACCUGAUUUACCACAUCUGAGACUGUCUCCUAGCCCUCCUUUUGCCUUGCCACUACCCAAAUACAUGGGGCACAGGAUGAACGCAUUUGCUUUGGUUACUUUUUAUUUUCUAGGGCCCCAAAAAGAAACCCCAUAAGCAUGUGUUGUCACCUUUGACUACUGUAGCAUUCAUUUUCUGUACUAUUCAUAAGUAAACCUCCAGUGAUGUUACA